UGGGGAAUAUUGCACAAUGGGGGAAACCCUGAUGCAGCGACGCCGCGUGAGCGAUGAAGGCUUUCGAGUCGUAAAGCUCUGUCCUAUGGGAAGAUAAUGACGGUACCAUAGAAGAAAGCCCCGGCUAAUUACGUGCCAGCAGCCGCGGUAAUACGUAAGGGGCGAGCGUUGUCCGGAAUUAUUGGGCGUAAAGAGUGCGUAGGCGGCAAAUUAAGUCAGAUGUGAAAACUAAGGGCUCAACCCAUAGAUUGCAUCUGAAACUGAUAUGCUUGAGUCAAGGAGAGGAAAGUGGAAUUCCUAGUGGAGCGGUGGAAUGCGUAGAUAUUAGGAGGAAUACCGGUGGCGAAGGAGACUUUCUGGACUUGAACUGACGCUGAGGAACGAAAGCGUGGGGAGCAAACAGG
rnacentral:rRNA from 1 species